rnacentral:rRNA from 1 species
GAUGAACGCUGGCGGCGUGCCUAAUACAUGCAAGUCGAGCGAACGGACGAGAAGCUUGCUUCUCUGAUGUUAGCGGCGGACGGGUGAGUAACACGUGGAUAACCUACCUAUAAGACUGGGAUAACUUCGGGAAACCGGAGCUAAUACCGGAUAAUAUUUUGAACCGCAUGGUUCAAAAGUGAAAGACGGUCUUGCUGUCACUUAUAGAUGGAUCCGCGCUGCAUUAGCUAGUUGGUAAGGUAACGGCUUACCAAGGCAAUGAUGCAUAGCCGACCUGAGAGGGUGAUCGGCCACACUGGAACUGAGACACGGUCCAGACUCCUACGGGAGGCAGCAGUAGGGAAUCUUCCGCAAUGGGCGAAAGCCUGACGGAGCAACGCCGCGUGAGUGAUGAAGGUCUUCGGAUCGUAAAACUCUGUUAUUAGGGAAGAACAUAUGUGUAAGUAACUGUGCACAUCUUGACGGUACCUAAUCAGAAAGCCACGGCUAACUACGUGCCAGCAGCCGCGGUAAUACGUAGGUGGCAAGCGUUAUCCGGAAUUAUUGGGCGUAAAGCGCGCGUAGGCGGUUUUUUAAGUCUGAUGUGAAAGCCCACGGCUCAACCGUGGAGGGUCAUUGGAAACUGGAAAACUUGAGUGCAGAAGAGAAAAGUGGAAUUCCAUGUGUAGCGGUGAAAUGCGCAGAGAUAUGGAGGAACACCAGUGGCGAAGGCGACUUUCUGGUCUGUAACUGACGCUGAUGUGCGAAAGCGUGGGGAUCAAACAGGAUUAGAUACCCUGGUAGUCCACGCCGUAAACGAUGAGUGCUAAGUGUUAGGGGGUUUCCGCCCCUUAGUGCUGCAGCUAACGCAUUAAGCACUCCGCCUGGGGAGUACGACCGCAAGGUUGAAACUCAAAGGAAUUGACGGGGACCCGCACAAGCGGUGGAGCAUGUGGUUUAAUUCGAAGCAACGCGAAGAACCUUACCAAAUCUUGACAUCCUUUGACAACUCUAGAGAUAGAGCUUUCCCCUUCGGGGGACAAAGUGACAGGUGGUGCAUGGUUGUCGUCAGCUCGUGUCGUGAGAUGUUGGGUUAAGUCCCGCAACGAGCGCAACCCUUAAGCUUAGUUGCCAUCAUUAAGUUGGGCACUCUAAGUUGACUGCCGGUGACAAACCGGAGGAAGGUGGGGAUGACGUCAAAUCAUCAUGCCCCUUAUGAUUUGGGCUACACACGUGCUACAAUGGACAAUACAAAGGGCAGCGAAACCGCGAGGUCAAGCAAAUCCCAUAAAGUUGUUCUCAGUUCGGAUUGUAGUCUGCAACUCGACUACAUGAAGCUGGAAUCGCUAGUAAUCGUAGAUCAGCAUGCUACGGUGAAUACGUUCCCGGGUCU